UCGAGCAAGUCUCGUAAAUUUCACGAUUGCGAGCCACGCUUCACGCAACCGUGUUUGCGUACUUGUGUUUCAAGUUGCGUGGUCGUACGGAGUUAUAUUUACCAAAUUUACUAAAUAUAAUCGUUUUCAAAAUUAAAUCAAUAUGUCAAUAUGGCUACUGGGUGUAAAAGAUAAAUCUUAUUCUAUCUGUUCUUAAUGAGUUUUAGAUAAUUUUAGUUGUAUUUCUUUGUAAUUUUGUGUUGUACAAAGAUUAAUUUAACAUUUUCUCUGGAAGUAUUAAUUUAGAAAGAUAAUAUGCUUCAUUGGUGUUGUGUUUUGAAGUGUGAAAUGUGAUAAAGUCAAGAUUAAAGUUCACUUUUAAACUGAACUAAAUAAGGUAUCUGAGAGACAACAAUGGUUAAAUGCAAUACAAUGUACAGGUUUUACUAGCGAAAUGAAAAUUUUCCUGUCCUGUCUGCUGUAAUCAUUUUAUAUCUGGAAAACCAGCCGACUUAAUAGAUAAUAACAAUCUCCAGAUUGGGUUCCUUCAAUAAAUAUGGUCUAUAAACACAAUGAAAUAAGUUCCCCAAAAUCUAAAAUGGAGUGGUAUCAAAGGAGAAUUAAAGGGAAAAAUAUUCAUAUUGAAAUUAUUUAUAAGGCACUGGACUGUCUUAAAUUCUACAAUAAUACUAGAAUCAGCUGAGAGAAGUGGUCUAUAAAAAAACCAGGAAGGAAACGGAAUAUGUGGCUACGAAAGGCAAAAGAAAGGUUUACAAAGCAAAUGUGACACAUUUUUUUGAAAUAUUUAGGAAUAUCAGUAAAUUGCAUUAAAAAAAUGUAUGAAAAGAUUUUGUUCAAUAAAAAUGUUUAUAUUUA